GGAGAGGUGGCGAAAUUGGCAGACGCUAGCUUAACGGCAAGAUGAACGAGUGGUUGGAUUCCACUAUCGGGUAUCCUAGGAUUAAUACCCUAUCCUCGCAAAGGAGCAUCGUGCAGGUUCGAAUCCUGCCCUUUUCA
rnacentral:tRNA from 1 species